rnacentral:rRNA from 1 species
UCAGGAUGAACGCUGGCGGCGUGCCUAACACAUGCAAGUCGAACGAAGCACUUCUGGUUGGAGAUUCGUCGAAGACCGGAUUUGACUUAGUGGCGGACGGGUGAGUAAUGUAUGAGCAACCUGCCUUUCAGAGGGGGACAACAGUUGGAAACGACUGCUAAUACCGCAUAAUGUAUUGAUGGGGCAUCCCGUUGAUACCAAAGGAGCAAUCCGCUGAAAGAUGGGCUCAUAUCUGAUUAGUUAGUUGGCAGGGUAACGGCCUACCAAGACUGCGAUCAGUAGCCGGACUGAGAGGUUGAACGGCCACAUUGGGACUGAGAUACGGCCCAGACUCCUACGGGAGGCAGCAGUGGGGAAUAUUGGGCAAUGGGCGAAAGCCUGACCCAGCAACGCCGCGUGAAGGAAGAAGGUCUUCGGAUUGUAAACUUCUUUUAUGAGGGACGAAGGACGUGACGGUACCUCAUGAAUAAGCCACGGCUAACUACGUGCCAGCCGCAGC